rnacentral:rRNA from 1 species
UACGUAGGGGGCAAGCGUUGUCCGGAAUCAUUGGGCGUAAAGAGCGUGUAGGCGGCCGGUAAGUCCGCUGUGAAAGUCGGGGGCUCAACCCUCGAAUGCCGGUGGAUACUGUCGGGCUAGAGUGCGGAAGAGGGCGAGUGGAAGUUCCUGGGUGUAGCGGUGAAAUGACGCAGAUAUCAGGAGGAACACCGAUUGCGAAGGCAGCUCGCUGGGACGUAACUGACGCUGAGACGCGAAAGCGUGGGGAGCAAACAGG